rnacentral:misc_RNA from 1 species
UACGUGCAGACAGCCGCCUUCUCUGUCACUUUGUAUAGAGGACGGGUGAGUAACACGUGGGCAUCUGCCCUGCACUUCGGGAUAAGCCUGGGAACUGGGUCUAAUACCGGAUAGGACCACUUGGCGCAUGCCUUGUGGUGGAAAGCUUUUUGCGGUGCAGGA